rnacentral:rRNA from 1 species
GACGAACGCUGGCGGCGUGCUUAACACAUGCCAGUCGAACGGAAAGGCCCUGCUUUUGUGGGGUGCUCGAGUGGCGAACGGGUGAGUAACACGUGAGUAACCUGCCCUUGACUUUGGGAUAACUUCAGGAAACUGGGGCUAAUACCGGAUAGGAGCUCCUGCUGCAUGGUGGGGGUUGGUAAGUUUCGGCGGUUGGGGAUGGACUCGCGGCUUAUCAGCUUGUUGGUGGGGUAGUGGCUUACCAAGGCUUUGACGGGUAGCCGGCCUGAGAGGGUGACCGGCCACAUUGGGACUGAGAUACGGCCCAGACUCCUACGGGAGGCAGCAGUGGGGAAUAUUGCACAAUGGGCGGAAGCCUGAUGCAGCAACGCCGCGUGCGGGAUGACGGCCUUCGGGUUGUAAACCGCUUUCGCCUGUGACGAAGCGUGAGUGACGGUAAUGGGUAAAGAAGCACCGGCUAACUACGUG